CCCUUAGAUGUUCUGGGCCGCACCCGCGCUACACUGAAGGAGGCAGCAUGUACUCCUGGAUCGAAAGAUUUGGGUAACCCGCGAAUCUCCUUCGUGCUAGGGAUUGAGGUUUGCAAUUAUCCUUCAUGAACGAGGAAUUCCCAGUAAGUGCAAGUCAUAAGCUUGCGCUGACUACGUCCCUGCCCUUUGUACACACCGCCCGUCGCUACUACCGAUUGAAUGAUUUAGUGAGGACUUCGGACUGGGACCGAUGCGGCUUUCGGGCUGCGUCGGUAUUCUGGAAAGAUGUCCAAACUGUAUCAUUUAGAGGAAGUAAAAGUCGUAACA
rnacentral:rRNA from 1 species